UACGGAGGGCGCAAGCGUUGUUCGGAAUUACUGGGCGUAAAGCGCGUGUAGGCGGCUUGGUAAGUCGGCUGUGAAAGCCCGGGGCUCAACCCCGGAGGGUCAGCCGAAACUGCAUCGCUCGAGUCCCGGAGAGGGUGGCGGAAUUUCCGGUGUAGAGGUGAAAUUCGUAGAGAUCGGAAGGAACACCAGUGGCGAAGGCGGCCACCUGGACGGUGACUGACGAUGAGACGCGAAAGAGUGGGGAGCAAACAGG
rnacentral:rRNA from 1 species